rnacentral:lncRNA from 1 species
GCUCUGUAGAAAAUCAUGCAUGAGGAUACCAUUUAGCGUAUAAAUAUUGCAUCAAAUAUGACUACAAAAUAUCCCAUUACUCUUGAAUGACAAACCAUAACAUAUUAUUUUUUAAGUUUAAUGGUUCAUUAUGUUUACUGAUUCCAACAAUUAUGUACAGUUUCCAGUCAAUCCCUCCAAGAAAAAAAGUUCCAUAACUCUGGAGGGACACCUGGUUAGUCAAACUUAAUCUGUCGGUUGCUUCUUUUAUUAAUCCCAAACAAAUAGGAUUUUUUCUAAGACAUCUGAUUAUUUAAUCAGACUUUGUAUGCAAUAUGCCAAAAAAGGAAAAGAAAAUAGGACGCAUUCUUCCAUCAGUACUAUUACUAAUGGUUCAAGCAAAUUUGAGGUAGCACACUAAAUGAUGAUGGAGGAAUGUAUGGACAAUGGUAUACCAUAAAACAUCCUGUCUUUGACUGGUG